AGAGUUUGAUCCUGGCUCAGGAUGAACGCUAGCUACAGGCUUAACACAUGCAAGUCGAGGGGCAGCAUGGUCUUAGCUUGCUAAGGCUGAUGGCGACCGGCGCACGGGUGAGUAACACGUAUCCAACCUGCCGUCUACUCUUGGCCAGCCUUCUGAAAGGAAGAUUAAUCCAGGAUGGGAUCAUGGAGUUCACAUCGUCCGC
rnacentral:rRNA from 1 species